UACGAAGGGGGCGAGCGUUGUUCGGAAUUACUGGGCGUAAAGGGCGCGUAGGCGGCGACUCAAGUCAGAUGUGAAAGUCCUGGGCUUAACCUGGGGACUGCAUUUGAUACUGGGUUGCUUGAAUUCGGGAGAGGAUAGCGGAAUUCCCAGUGUAGAGGUGAAAUUCGUAGAUAUUGGGAAGAACACCGGUGGCGAAGGCGGCUAUCUGGACCGACAUUGACGCUGAGGCGCGAAAGCGUGGGAGCAAACGGG
rnacentral:rRNA from 1 species